rnacentral:lncRNA from 1 species
UGUUUCCCUUCUUGCCUUCAUCUGAAUUCCCUCUGCCAUGAGCCAUCAAACACGGAACUGCUCAUAGAUCACCUCUUGUCAGGGGCUGGCAGCGCUUCUGGCUCGGCCUCUGAGCUCCACAGCUGUUGGAGAGUUUGUUUGGCUGGAAGGAGGAAGGGUGGUCUGGGUCAGGCUCUGGGGUGUUCCCAUCCCAUCCAGGCUCUGGGGUGUUCCCAUCCCAUCCAGGCUCUGGGGUGUUCCCAUCUGGGUUCUGGAGUGUUCCCAUCUGGGUUCUGGGGUGUUCCCAUCCAGGAUCUGGGGUGUUCCCAUCUGGGUUCUGGGGUGUUCCCAUCCCAUCCAGGCUCUGGGGUGUUCCCAUCCAGGCUCUGGGUGUUCCCAUCCACGUUCCAGUGGAAGCUGGAUUUUAAACCACAGGGAAAGGGGGACAGAACUCCCUCAGCCCUUCAGUGGGGUGGGACAGGAGAAAAGGGGAGACAGAAGAAGGUGCAGGUCCCUCCUGCAGACCCCACAGAGGCCGGGGAGGGAGUGGGGACAACCACAGCAGGACAUCUGACCAAAACAGGGGAUGCUUUUAGCAGAGCUGAGCCAAACCAUUCUCUGAGAGCUGAACCAGCUCACCCUCCACAAGCCACCGCACCAGCUCCAGCAAAAAACCACAUUUUUUGCAAUUUUCAAGCUCUGAACCCUCCUGAUUUCCACACGUCACUGGCUGAGAUGCGCAGUCCCUGGGGAUGGGGCUGCGGGAUCAGCGAGGUGAAGGUGGCUGAGCCCUCUCCGAGGUGCUUCACCCCCCACUGUCCCCGCACGUGUCCCCGUGCUGCGGAUGCAGAUGUCUGGGAACGUGCGCUCGCUCCAGCAUUACAUCACUGCAGGGAAAGGCAGCAGGAGAAAUGCAGCAGCCUGCGAGCCAGGGCCAUCCAAAAUAAACCUCUGCCGGGAAAGGGGAGGCGUUCCAGUGGAAAAUGUUUGGGUUUUCACAAAUCCCAUCGCCUCAGCGCUUGUGCCGCGGUCCUUCAAGGUCCUUCCUGCAUGUAG